AUGAAGUUCUUCUUAACUACCAUCGUUGUGGCGUUGUUGCUGAUUGCUGCGGCUUCAAAGUCACGUUCGGCAAUCAGUUAUCCAGAUGAGGGCGGGACUCCUUCACCACCAGAAGCAGCGUUGUUGCUGAUUGCUGCGGCUUCAAAGUCACAUUCGGCAAUCUGUUCUCCAGAUGUGGACCGGACUCCUUCACCACCAGAAGCAGCGUUGUUGCUGAUUGCUGCGGCUUCAAAGUCACGUUCGGCAAUCUGUUCUCCAGAUGUGGACCGGACUCCUUCACCGCCAGAAGCAGGUUCAUUGGCACAUACCAAUAAGAAGAUCCCACUUAUUCGCACAGACAAACCCAAGGAGGUGAAUCCCAUGGAGUACCUUACCCAUGACCUAGCCCGGAUGAGUGUGCUGUUAGGGACGCCCAUCUUCUACCCCUCAGAGUAUUUGAAUAUCACAGCUCGUGACCGGACAAGUGAUCUGGAUAUGUUCACAGCUUGGCUUGGGUUUGGAUAUCCAGAUGUACUUCAGAAGGUGGUAUUUGACACGGGCAGCGACUUCAGCUGGAUCCGUUGCAACAUGACAAGAAUUAAUUCCACGGAGAGCUACCAAGGAGCAUCGUACGCCCCCGCAGAUUCUUUCACCUCCAAGCUAGUCUUCUGCGGAUCUUCAAACUGUUUAAAGGCGGGAGGAAGGUGCAAAGUUGGCGGCAAUGAUCAUUGUUUCUUCUCCACCCACUACAUGGACGCAUCAAGCACACAAGGUAUAGUCUUUAUGGACGAAUUAAACCUGACAUACUUUGUGUCAGUCAAACAUUUUCUGUUUGGAUGUGCUACUAGUGAUGUGGGAUAUUUUGGUGACCUGGACGGACUUAUUGGGCUCGGGCGUGGCCCAAUGUCUCUAGCACAGCAGAUACACAAGACGGAUGCCCCAUCAGUUGAUAUGACACACAAUGAGUUUUCAUACUGUAUUCCAUCGUCAAGGAGUAAGAAGAGUGGGUUCCUCACCUUUGGCAGGAUGGACGAGUCGACCUCCGACAUUACAUUCACCAAAAUGUUUAGGCAUAGGACUCACAUGUCUUUGUAUUUUGUGGAUUUAACAUACAUGUACGUCGGCAAUGAGUUUAUUGCUAUGCCGGUGAAGCAAGAAACAUUUGUGGACUCCGGGGCAACUUUGACAUACAUCCCACCUGAGGUUCACGGCAACCUCACUAGGGUGUUCCGGCAGGAGUUUGAGAAGUAUCUUAUUCCAAAGGAUGUCUACAUACUCGGCGGCUGCUUCAACUUCACAGACGCACCUGCUAACAUCCCUAUACCCCAAGUAAUUUUCGGCUUCAGUGACGGUACAGAGUUUGAUCUCAGUUAUGAAGGCAUCUUCUUUAAUCCGCGGCCGGGUAAGCGCAUCGCGUGUCUGGCGUUUCAUUCCCAGAGCGGCAUAUCUAUAAUAGGGAGGAGUGCACAACAAUCUGUAGAAAUUGUGUUUGACAUUGUAAACGACAACCUUGGUUUUGGUCCCAAGGGUGGUUGUUGA
rnacentral:rRNA from 1 species